rnacentral:rRNA from 1 species
GAGUUUGAUCGUGGCUCAGGAUGAACGCUGGCGGCGUGCCUAACACAUGCAAGUCGAACGGAGUUCUUAAGGAAUGCGGCUUCGGCCAAAUGACUUUUGAACUUAGUGGCGGACGGUGAGUAACGCGUGAGCAACCUAGCCUUUCAGAGGGGGAGUAACAUUUGGUAAACAAGAUGCUAAUAACCGCAUAAGAUUACAGUACCG